CAUCAUUGCAAAAGCAAUAAGUUGCAAUAGUUGUAAACAUAAACUUAACAUUCAUUUGUAGAUUGUUUAUUGCUGCUCUUCAUUUCAAUGAGAAUGGAAACAAAGCUCAGAAAACGAAGAAUGGUGGGCAAACAGAAGAGGCAUUGAUUUGGAGAAUGGCUUAUUCAAAGUCAAAAGAAGGACUAGGGGUCAUCAAACCAGUGAAAGUUGACAGCACUUAUGGAUAUGUUAAGGACUUGAUGAUAGAAGUUUUGUACUGCAGACGCAUUAAUCCAACACUGUCCAAAGCUCUUGAUGUCGCUGGAGUGAAAGAAAUACCUGUCCCAUUGACUAGCCACAAAUCAAAAAUCAGCAAAGCUGAAGCCAUUAAGCAACAUAAAUCUCGUUUUAAUAAAUAAAAUGAAACUAACCAUUCAACAUUUCCAAUUCUGUGAAUGUAUUCAUCUUCGCUUUCCGAUGACGAAGAAUUGUCAUCAUUAUGACCACCUUGCGCGUUGGCCAAAGGCUCAAACAUGUAAGGUUGUACCUCAUUGUUAUUGAUGACAAUUUUAUAAUCGGCUUCUUCUUCAGAAGAAUCCAUUAAUUUUUGUUAAAUAAAAACAAUAACUAGCAAACUACCUUAAUAGCAAACUACCAAAGUCGUGCAAGUCGUAGAACGAUAUAAGAACGAUGCUUGAACGAUAUAAGAACGAUAUAAGAACGAGUCGUAGAACGAUAUAAGAACGAUAUAAGAACGAUAAUACCGACGGAAUUGAAAUAGCUAUAAUUAAGAGCCGGUCGAUAUUAAUAACUUGCCGGCUGAAAUGUACGUACGCUGAAGUUAAAAAUGAACAGAGUUGAGAAA